UUUUGUUUUUGGGUUAUAUCCCAAAAAAAUCGCUUGCCUUGCGAUAAACCCUAGCCUCUACUCCAUUCAUUUAUGUUUUUCUUUCUUUAAUUUUUAAUUUUUAAUUUUUCAUCUGUUUUUAGAAAUUCGUGGUACUUUGACCGUUCAUGUAGACACUAUAAGAUCAUUUAGCGGAUGCUGUGGCUUUUGUUUAGUUUCUGGAACGUUAACUCACUGCCGCCGCCUCCGCCUCCACCACCUGCACCACUUCUACCACCAGUACCAUCUCCUUCCACGUCACACAUGGGUUACUUUGCCUAAUGUUACUUGAACUCGGGUGUGAGUGUUGGAUAUGGGUAUGUAUUUGACAUGGUUAUGGUUAGAUUUUUCCAAGUUAUGGUUUGCGGUCAUGUUACUUGUAUUCAGGUUUGUCAGAUGCAAUUAUGUGUUUCAUAGGGAUAUUUUUUUUCUUAUGCAUUUCGUGAAUAGAAAGCAAGCAAUUGGGAUUAUUCCAUAUGACAGUAUGAAGGAACCCAUGGAAAUGUUUUUUCUUGUAUUGAGAUUUGAAGGAUCCUUGAAACUGUUUAAGGAAAAAUUUUGAAUUAAGCGUUGAUUAGGUUUUAGCUGAUGCAUCUUUUGAGUGCUGGCAUUUUGUUGAAGCUAUCUUUUUCAAUGUUUUUUAAACUGGACCCCGGUGGUUGAAUCGGUCUAGCCGGUCCGAUUGGUUCAACCGGUCUGAUUAAAAAAUCAUUAAAAAUUCAAAAAAUAAAAAAUAAAAUAUUCAGUUUAUCCGGUCCGUAGUCCGUACCAGUUCCUAGGUCAACUGGUUCAAAGCCGCUCUCUGGACCGGUACCCUGGCCGGUUCCCUGUCCAACUGGUCUGGCCGGCCGGUCCGGUUCAAACAGCAUUGAUCUUUUUUAACUCCAUAGCUAUCUUGGGUUUUUUUGCUCUAAUACAAAUAUAUUACAAGGGUUUGGAAACUCAUUGAAUUUGUAACUAGCUUUUUGUAGUUAGUGUUUGGCCCAAUGAUGGAAAACUCAUCGAAUAGAGCAGUUAUUUCUGAUUUUCAUUUUGAACAUUCGCCAUCAUCAUUAUUAUCAUCAUCUGUCUUUGCUUUCUUCAUCAUCAAUCAUCAUCAUUUUCUUCAGCAGCAACAAUCAACUGAAACAUGAUUUGCUCUCUCUCUCUCUCUCUCUCUCUCUCUUUAUAUAUAUUUAUCUAUCUUUUUUACACAGAUUAUGAGGUGGGAAGGUUCUUAAUGAGAAUCAGUUGGUUAACUGUGAUGACCAAUACUUCUUACAAAUGAGAUCUGAGGGCCUUUCUGAUCUUGUCUUGAAUGUCUCAACUGUAUAAUUGGUGUUUUUAUACCAUGAAAAUCCUUUGUUGGUUUUUUUCUUUUUUAUGAUGAUUACUUGUGUUGCACCCAACUUUUCGUUUUUCUCAAAAGCAUCCAUGGCCAUUCAUGUUUGUUGCAUAUCUUGACAUGGGUAUCAGGAUAUGAUCUUCUAAGAACUCCCAAAAUACAUAAGAAGAAAAAUUGAACAUUUUCGUAUUUGACACAAGCGAUUGGUUUAACAUAGGUAAUUACGUUAAAGAAAAGUUAAUGUUGCUACUUCUGCAGCUAUUAUUGUUAUUCUUCUCUUAAGAAGUGGGUCGACUUUAGUAAAUAUCAUCACAUUGUCGUUUGAUUAUGAUACUUACAAGGCCAUCACCUUUGACCCUUCAAUAAAAAGUUAACGGGUUUUAUUUUUGUUAUUUCUUUGGGUAGUAUUGGAUGAAAAAGCAGCAUUAUCGAUGGGUGCUGGUGUUUGUGCUUGAAUCCACACAUAGGGUCAAGGUUCGUCAUUGUUGGUUCGUGUUUGAUUCUUUGACAUUAGGUCAAGAGACCGCUCUUCUUGAGUCUUAAGGGAAAGGGUUUUGAUCGAAUCUGAUUUGGGGUUUAACGGGUUUUAUUUUUGUUAUUUCUUUGGGUAGUAUUGGAUGAAAAAGCAGCAUUAUCGAUGGGUGCUGGUGUUUGUGCUUGAAUCCACACAUAGGGUCAAGGUUCGUCAUUGUUGGUUCGUGUUUGAUUCUUUGACAUUAGGUCAAGAGACCGCUCUUCUUGAGUCUUAAGGGAAAGGGUUUUGAUCGAAUCUGAUUUGGGGUUUGAAGACCUUGUUUCUUGGGGUAUCAACUUGGGGUUUUGCAUUUGUCGAGAAAGGAUUAUAUGAAACUGAAAUACCAUGAAAUUUGUAUUACUUUCUAAUAAUUUAAUGCCAUUUCAACAUUUUCAUCUUGAAAAAAAUCAAAUUCAAAAUAAUGUCAAAUUUUUGAAUGAAAAUGUAAAGUAAUAUUUAAUUAUUGGAAAAGGAUACAAGUGACAUGGUAUCUAAGUUUCAUAUAAUCCAUUCUCGUGUGUUGGCACUUGCACUAUAUUAUACUUGAAAUACCAUGUUUACUUGUAUGGUGGUGUAUAUGACAAACAUUGAAUCAACGUCUUUCACUUUCUCAUGACAUCUUUGGAACCCCAAGACAUUUGAUUGUUUGGAGUAUUUGUCUACUUUUUCGCCAAUGACAGAUCACAUUAUAGUGGUUGCAUAGAUUAUUCACCAGGGUCUAAAUGAUACAGAUGGUGACAAGGUGUGGUUGGUUUUAGUUGAUUUUGAAGAGAUUGAAAACAGCGGUGAUGAUGGGAUGACAGUGAUUUCUUUGUUUAAUAAAAUGUUGUGUGGUGGUAACUAUCACUUAUGAGGAAAGAUCGAGAACUUCAAGAAGCAAAUGGUGUGGUGGAUGAUGACAAGUAUCUUAUAAGCUAAAUGUAAUCAUUUCAGAAACCUUUGAUUUUCUACAAAUUUCUUCUUCAUUUGGUUUUUGAGAUUGGAAAUUCAAUGGAAGAAGCAAAAACCUUGUUCAUUUCAUUUUUCUCCUAAACGAAAAUGAGAAUGCAAGUCAUGUUUUCACUUGUUCUUUCA